rnacentral:rRNA from 1 species
GUGCCAGCCGCCGCGGUAAUACGGAGGAUCCAAGCGUUAUCCGGAAUCAUUGGGUUUAAAGGGUCCGUAGGCGGUUUGGUAAGUCAGUGGUGAAAGCCCAUCGCUCAACGGUGGAACGGCCAUUGAUACUGCCAGACUUGAAUUACUGGGAAGUAACUAGAAUAUGUAGUGUAGCGGUGAAAUGCUUAGAGAUUACAUGGAAUACCAAUUGCGAAGGCAGGUUACUACCAGUGGAUUGACGCUGAUGGACGAAAGCGUGGGUAGCGAACAGGAUUAGAUACCCUGGUAGUCCACGCCGUAAACGAUGGAUACUAGCUGUUGGGAGUAAUCUCAGUGGCUAAGCGAAAGUGAUAAGUAUCCCACCUGGGGAGUACGAACGCAAGUUUGAAACUCAAAUGAAUUGACGG